rnacentral:rRNA from 1 species
UAACACGAACCGUGCGAACGUUAUUCGGAAUCACUGGGCUUAAAGGGUGCGUAGGCGGCUUUGUAAGUGAGGUGUGAAAUCCCUCAGCUCAACUGAGGAACUGCGCUUCAAACUGCAUGGCUAGAGGGAGACAGAGGUAAGCGGAACUGAUGGUGGAGCGGUGAAAUGCGUUGAUAUUAUCAGGAACACCAGUGGCGAAGGCGGCUUACUGGGUCUCUUCUGACGCUGAGGCACGAAAGCUAGGGUAGCGAACGGGAUUAGAUACCCCGGUAGUCCUAGCUGUAAACGAUGAGUACUGGAUCGAGGAACCUUCCACAGUUUCUCGGUCGUAGCGAAAGUGUUAAGUACUCCGCCUGGGGAGUAUGGUCGCAAGGCUG